rnacentral:rRNA from 1 species
GACUACCCGGGUAUCUAAUCCUGUUUGCUCCCCACGCUUUCGUGCAUGAGCGUCAGUGCAGGCCCAGGGGAUUGCCUUCGCCAUCGGUGUUCCUCCGCAUAUCUACGCAUUUCACUGCUACACGCGGAAUUCCAUCCCCCUCUGCCGCACUCCAGCCUUGCAGUCACAAAGGCAGUUCCCAGGUUGAGCCCGGGGAUUUCACCUCUGUCUUACAAAACCGCCUGCGCACGCUUUACGCCCAGUAAUUCCGAUUAACGCUUGCACCCUACGUAUUACCGCGGCUGCUGGCACGUAGUUAGCCGGUGCUUAUUCUUACAGUACCGUCAUGGACUCUCUGUAUUAGAAAGAGCUUUUUCGUUCUGUACAAAAGCAGUUUACAACCCGAGGGCCUUCAUCCUGCACGCGGAAUGGCUGGAUCAGGCUUUCGCCCAUUGUCCAAAAUUCCCCACUGCAGCCCCCCGUAGG